rnacentral:rRNA from 1 species
AGCACGAAAGGUUUGGCUAAAUCCUUGGGUCGGACAUCAGGAGGGUUAGUGCAAAUGGCAUAAGCCAGCUUUAAACUGCGAGACGGACAGGGUCGAGCAGGGUACGAAAAGUAGGUCAUAGUGAUCCGGUGGUUCUGAAUGGAAAGGGCCAUCGCUCAACGGAUAAAAGGUACUCCGGGGAUAACAGGCUGAUACGCCCAAGAGUUCAUAUCGACGGCGGUGUUUGGCACCUCGAUGUCGGCUCAUCACAUCCUGGGGGCUGAAGUCGGUCCCAAGGGUAUGGCUGUUCGCCAUUUAAAGUGGUACGCGAGCUGGGUUCAGAACGUCGUGAGACAGUUCGGUCCCUAUCUGCCGUGGGCGUUGGAUGAUUGAAGGGAGUUGCUCCUAGUACGAGAGGACCGGAGUGAACGAACCUCUGGUGUUCGGGUUGUCACGCCAGUGGCACUGCCCGGUAGCUAAGUUCGGAAUCGAUAACCGCUGAAAGCAUCUAAGCGGGAAGCGAGCCCUGAGAUGAGUCAUCCCUGACCCCUUGAGGGUCCUAAAGGGCCGUUGGAGACCACAACGUUGAUAGGUGGGGUGUGUAAGUGCAGCGAUGCAUUGAGCUAACCCAUACUAAUUACCCGUGAGGCUUAACCAUACAACACCCAAGAAGUGUUCU